rnacentral:rRNA from 1 species
AGAGUUUGAUCCUGGCUCAGGAUGAACGCUGGCGGCGUGCGUAAUACAUGCAAGUCGAGCGAACCACUUCGGUGGUGAGCGGCGAACGGGUGAGUAACACGUAGGUGAUCUGCCCAUCAGACGGGGACAACGAUUGGAAAUGAUCGCUAAUACCGGAUAGGACGAAAGUUUAAAGGUGCUUCAGGCACCGCUGAUGGAUGAGCCUGCGGCGCAUUAGCUAGUUGGUAGGGUAAAGGCCUACCAAGGCGACGAUGCGUAGCCGACCUGAGAGGGUGAACGGCCACACUGGGACUGAGACACGGCCCAGACUCCUACGGGAGGCAGCAGUAGGGAAUCUUCGGCAAUGGGCGAAAGCCUGACCGAGCAACGCCGCGUGAAUGAUGAAGGCCUUCGGGUUGUAAAAUUCUGUUAUAAGGGAAGAACGACUUUAGUAGGAAAUGGCUAGAGUGUGACGGUACCUUAUGAGAAAGCCACGGCUAACUACGUGCCAGCAGCCGCGGUAAUACGUAGGUGGCGAGCGUUAUCCGGAAUUAUUGGGCGUAAAGAGCGCGCAGGUGGUUGAUUAAGUCUGAUGUGAAAGCCCACGGCUUAACCGUGGAGGGUCAUUGGAAACUGGUCGACUUGAGUGCAGAAGAGGGAAGUGGAAUUCCAUGUGUAGCGGUGAAAUGCGUAGAGAUAUGGAGGAACACCAGUGGCGAAGGCGGCUUCCUGGUCUGUAACUGACACUGAGGCGCGAAAGCGUGGGGAGCAAACAGGAUUAGAUACCCUGGUAGUCCACGCCGUAAACGAUGAGUGCUAAGUGUUGGGGGUCGAACCUCAGUGCUGAAGUUAACGCAUUAAGCACUCCGCCUGGGGAGUACGGUCGCAAGACUGAAACUCAAAGGAAUUGACGG